rnacentral:rRNA from 1 species
UUCCUACGGGGCGCAGCAGUGGGGAAUAUUGCACAAUGGGCGAAAGCCUGAUGCAGCAACGCCGCGUGAAGGAAGAAGGCCUUCGGGUCGUAAACUUCUGUCCUUGGGGAAGAAGAACUGACGGUACCCAAGGAGGAAGCCCCGGCUAACUACGUGCCAGCAGCCGCGGUAAUACGUAGGGGGCAAGCGUUAUCCGGAUUCACUGGGCGUAAAGGGAGCGCAGGCGGCAUGGCAAGUCUGAUGUGAAAACCCGGGGCCCAACCCCGGGAGUGCAUUGGAAACUGCCAGGCUGGAGUGUCGGAGGG